rnacentral:lncRNA from 1 species
AGUUGAUGAUUCAGUUCCUAUGUCUCCUGCCUUCUUUUCAUCUUAGACUAGCUCAGAUUUUGGACUAAGACCCAGUAGCUUCUGAGAAGAAUGAAGUCACCCCUUUUGGACUCCAGAAUAUAGUGAAACUAUUCUGCUUCUUUCGCUGGAGGGAGGUCGGAGAGAAGAGGCCAAAUGAUGAAAGACAAGUCCCCCACAUCUUCGAGGAGAGCUGUGUGGGAAGAACACAAGAAGCCUUUCUGCUGUAAUGCAGAUGAGUGGCAGUUAAUGAGUAGCACUGUUGAAAAUUCACUUCGAUUCAGAGAAACUUGGAGCUGUUUCAAGAGCUGUUUAAGAGACACAUUCAUUUCAUAUGUGCCCACCCCAGAUCUGCUGUCACUGAUAGCAAUGUUUUGUUUGAAC